UGGGGGGAAAGUGCAACCCUGGCGGCGUGCUAAUACUGCAGUCGAGCGAAUCAUGAGGUGCUUGCACCUCUUGGUUAGCGGCGGACGGGUUACACGUGGGCAACCUGCCUGUAAGACUGGGAUACUUCGGGAAACCGGAGCUAAUACCGGAUAAUCCUUUUCCUCUCAUGAGGAAAAGCUGAAAGUCGGUUUACGCUGACACUUACAGAUUGGCCCGCGGCGCAUUAGCUAGUUGGUGAGGUAACGGCUCACCAAGGCGACGAUGCGUAGCCGACCUGAGAGGGUGAUCGGCCACACUGGGACUGAGACACGGCCCAGACUCCUACGGGAGGCAGCAGUAGGGAAUCUUCCGCAAUGGACGAAAGUCUGACGGAGCAACGCCGCGUGAGCGAUGAAGGCCUUCGGGUCGUAA
rnacentral:rRNA from 1 species